CCCACCUGCCGUUCUUGUUACAAGAAAUGAAACAUGCAAUCAAUCAAUCGAUUAGAAGUUGCAUAUUUGUUUUUUAGUUAUUCUACAUUUGAGACUAUCUGGCCUCAGUAUAUAGAAGCUACUACUUGAUAUGUAGUAGAAAUACAGGCUUUGGAGAAGACAGACGUGGAUUUGUAAAUCAAAACGUGAAUGAGUGACGCAUAAGAAUUCAAAUGUGACCUGAACUCACUCUUGACUGGUAUGGCAACUUGGCGUUAAAAAGUCAAUUUCAGUACAGUUGCAUUUAGGAUAUACUUACAUACGAAUGCUGUACAAUUUCAUUUUCAGGGUUGUGUAAUAGUCUAUCUUAAGAUUCUAUUUCUAGUUCUAUGUCAUAUUCUAUGUUGGACAUUCACAGAAUUUCUAAUGUUUUGAUGAAUAAAAAAUUCUUCCUAAGGAAAGAGAGACAGAUUUCGUA
rnacentral:lncRNA from 1 species